CCAAGAUUGGAAGAUGCUCGCAUAUUGGAACAAAUCCACCACAACUCCAAGAUUGGAAGCACAAUUGUAAGUGCAUGAAGACCAUUGUCAUGGAUGGAGGUAGCCAAGUUAAAGUCCAAGUAUGAUGAGAAGGGUCAACCUUGGUGAUGGAUUAGGCCGAUUGGUUGAAAGAGACAGAUCGAUACUUCGUUUCUUUUUGUUGAAGAUGGAGAUUGUAAUCUUGAUACCGUUUGUUGGAAAGCAAUUUAAGUUUUUGCAUUGAUGACUAUUUUUGUUGUUGUAUCAAUACAUUUAGCUAGGCAACUUCGUGUUGAGAUAUUUGUAGGUUAUGUUCUCUCUUUGUAAAUGCUGUAAGGCUAUGGAGGCUAGCUCUCUACUAAUUUCCUUCCAUUUAUGCUUAAGUAGUAUUGUUGGAUGAAAUGUAAGGAUAAUAUGGGAAUAUAAUGGUGUUUCAUUUUGGCAA